UCUAUCUGGAAGGCAUAGUGGUCAAGCAGAUGAUAUUCUUCUGUACUGAAAUAUUUAAAAACUGAAGUAAAAAGAUGGUAAUAAACGAAAAUUUAAAAAACUACAUUAAAACCUUUUCAAAACUUUUAAGAAAUAAGAAGUUCUACCUUUAUUACAAUACAAGUUCAAGUGUAAUUCUUCGAAACGGUGAGUUAAAACUGUACAAAAAGGUUCUGCAAGAGAAAUUAAAAAAGCGAUUCAAUAACUUAGAAGUGAAGAUAAAACAACGCGCUUGUAGUUUUUAUCAAGAAUGUGAAAAAAUACGAAGCAGAAUUCUUAACAUUGAAUACUAGAAGAGUUAAAGUUAUUCUUUUGUGCAUAUUGAAAGGAAAUUUCGACUUUGUAAAAAUCGUACAAGAAGCCAUUAACUUUGCUUUAAAUUGCAUUUUUAAACCUUUUAAGCCGGUUCAAAUUUAUUUCAAAAGGAUUUUAGGCGAUGUUUUAAAAGAUAACAUAUUAAAUAAAACGAACUUUGAAGGCAUUUCCCUAGAUUACGCCCAUCCCAAAAUUUCUUCUUGCAAAAUUAAAGCAACUCUUCCACAGCCGAUUCUCAAUGCCGCCACUGUGAAGAUCUUUAAACAAAUACAAAAAUCAAAGGAGGAAAAAAUAGAAUCCUUUUUUAACAGUGUAACUGAACACCUGACUCAAACUUACGGAAUCGAUUUACAUCAAUUUUGCAUAACUGCAUUGACAUAUUCAAAUCACUUUAUACAACUCAAUAGCAAAAAUACUUUUGAGAUGAAAGCCGUAUCAGACAAUGUACCAUACACAGUCAUAAGUUCAGUAUGGGAGCUGUUGACCAGAAAAGAAUCUAUGUGAUUAAAUAAUAUCUUCUGAAAAAUUCAAAUACAUUCAGAGAAGAGAUUUUUCACAAACUGAACGCUUUUCUUUAAAAAGUUUGUACAUUUUUUAUUAUAUAAUAAUAAAUGGCUUUUUUAUUUA